rnacentral:rRNA from 1 species
CAGCGACGCCGCGUGAGCGAUGAAGCCCUUCGGGGUGUAAAGCUCUUUCGGCAGGAACGAUAAUGACGGUACCUGCAGAAGAAGCUGCGGCUAACUACGUGCCAGCAGCCGCGGUAAUACGUAGGCAGCAAGCGUUGUUCGGAGUUACUGGGCGUAAAGAGUGUGUAGGCGGUUCUCUAAGUUUGGUGUGAAAUCUCCCGGCUUAACUGGGAGGGUGCGCCGAAGACUGGAGGGCUCGAGUGCGGGAGAGGAGAGCGGAAUUCCUGGUGUAGCGGUGAAAUGCGUAGAUAUCAGGAGGAACACCUGCGGUGUAGACGGCUCUCUGGACCGCCACUGACGCUGAGACACGAAAGCGUGGGUAGCAAACAGGAUUAGAUACCCUGGUAGUCCACGCCCUAAACGAUGCGCACUUGGUGUAGGCAGUUCAUUCUGUCUGUGCCGGAGCUAACGCGUUAAGUGCGCCGCCUGGGGAGUACGGUCGCAAGGCUG